rnacentral:rRNA from 1 species
UACGUAGGGUGCAAGCGUUGUCCGGAAUUAUUGGGCGUAAAGAGCUUGUAGGCGGUUUGUCGCGUCUGCUGUGAAAUUUCGGGGCUCAACCCCGAACUUGCAGUGGGUACGGGCAGACUAGAGUGUGGUAGGGGAGACUGGAAUUCCUGGUGUAGCGGUGAAAUGCGCAGAUAUCAGGAGGAACACCGAUGGCGAAGGCAGGUCUCUGGGCCAUAACUGACGCUGAGAAGCGAAAGCAUGGGGAGCGAACAGGAUAGACUACCU